rnacentral:rRNA from 1 species
CCAAUAGCGUAUAUUAAAGUUGUUGCAGUUAAAAAGCUCGUAGUUGAAUUUCGGAAUCAGUAUGUCGGUCGUGCCUUCGGUAUGUACUGGUGUCACUGAUUCCUCCCUUCUGACGAACCAUCAUGCCAUUCACUUGGUGUGGUGGGAAAUCAGGACUGUUACUUUGAAAAAAUUAGAGUGUUUAAAGCAGGCUCGCGCUUGAAUACAUUAGCAUGGAAUAAUGAAAUAGGACGUUAAUCCUAUUUUGUUGGUUUCUAGGAUCGACGUAAUGAUUAAUAGGGAUAGUUGGGGGCAUUAGUAUUCAAUUGUCAGAGGUGAAAUUCUUGGAUUUAUUGAAGACUAACUACUGCGAAAGCAUGUGCCAAGGAUGUUUUCAUUAAUCAAGAACGAAAGUUAGGGGAUCGAAGACGAUCAGAUACCGUCGUAGUCUUAACCAUAAACUAUGCCGACUAGGGAUCGGAUGAUGUUAAUUUUUUAAUGACUCAUUCGGCGCCUUACG